rnacentral:rRNA from 1 species
AUUGAACGCUGGCGGCAGGCCUCACACAUGCAAGUCGAGCGGAGCGGCGGACGGGUGAGUAAUGCCUAGGAAUCUGCCUGGUAGUGGGGGAUAACGUCCGGAAACGGGUGCUAAUACCGCAUACUCUCAGAUGAGCCUAGGUCGGAUUAGCUAGUUGGUGGGGUAAAGGCCUACCAAGGCGACGAUCCGUAACUGGUCUGAGAGGAUGAUCAGUCACACUGGAACUAGGACACGGUCCAGACUCCGAGGGGAGGCAGCAGUGGGGAAUAUUGGACAAUGGGCGAAAGCCUGAUCCAGCCAUGCCGCGUGUGUGAAGAAGGUCUUCGGAUUGUAAAGCACUUUAAGUUGGGAGGCGUUACCCGCAGAAGAAGCACCGGCUAACUCCGUGCCAGCCGCCGCGGUAAUAC